AAGGUAUUACAGGGAUCUGAUGAUAGUCGAGCGUGUAUCCUCUCCAUCUUCGGUGUAGCAAAACCCGCGAAGGAAAAUAAAAAUCCGGGAACUGAUUUGGGUCUGGAGGGAGAAGAGAAGAGAAGAGAAGAGAUAAGGAGAAGAGAAGAGGAGAUGGGAAUGGAGAGAAGCCCUUUCUUCAUCGGAUUGAUUUUGGUUUUGUUUCUUGGAGUAGCUGUUUAUCUGAGGCUGUGGGCUAUCGAUUUCUCCUUCUCUAAGGACGAUAACGAUCUCCUCAGAAGACAAUUCGAUCUUGCUAGCAGGGAGGCAAUGGAAGAAUCGGCUGAAUGGAGACUGAAAUAUGACGAGGAAGUGGAGAGGGGUACACAGCGUUUGCGGGAGUUGAUACAGGUGAAAGAGGCUCUUGAGCAGAAGAUAGACGAAACUGCAAGUAUCGACAACAGAUUGAUUGUGUUGCAAAAGGAAAAUGAUAGCCUACUCAAGCAAGUGGAGUCCUUGACACGGGAACUGGAAACUGUGAAGUCGAGGUGCAACACAAGAAACCAAAAUUGAAUAAGUUGAUAUUCCAUGAGCUGUUUCUCCAUGCAAGCGACUCCGCCUCAGAAUCUUUUGUACACUCAUAUUUCUACCCUUAACUUUUCAAGGUGCGGUUGAAGGGCCUGUGCUUCUCAAUCAUUUCUUUUAAUAGCAGGAUCUAGAGACUGGGAGGAUAAUUGGUGGAUGGUAUGGAGUAAAUAAACUCUAUUACCUCGAUCAUGGAAUAACUGAAGCUAGAUUGCUAACAUACAUUCUUCCUCAUUGGUGGCAUUCCAGGCUUGGUCAUCCCUCCAAUAGUUUGAAGUGUAGUCCCAUCAUUAUCUCAUGUUGUAGGUUAAAGUGUGAGGCUUGUGAGUUGAGUAAACACCAUAGAGUAUUUUUUCUUUCUCGUCUAGAUAAGAGAAGUGAUUAACUUGUUUUUUUUAGCAUAUUUUGAUAUUCAGGGUGCAAUUCAUUUUACUGUUUUAUCUAUUUUCAAGUGCUUUGUUAUUUUGUGGAUGAUUAUUCUCAUAUAACAUGACUAUAUUUGUUGAAAGAUCAAUUAGAAGUGUUUUUUUUUUUUUUUUCCUUUAAAGAAUUUCACAUGGGAAGCACAAUCUCAAUUCAAUUCUUGGGUUUGUGUUCUAUGGUCAUAUAAUGUAGCGAAUAUUUAACUUAUGAAUGUAAUUCAUACUUUUCAUCUCAU